CCUCAAGAGAGUCGUAUUUACUCCGGACGUUUACACGCGCUUAAAUGAAUUUCUGCACUUUGACAUUCAGAGCACUGGGCAGAAAUAACAUUGCGUCAGCACCCGUCACCGGCCAUAGCAAUGCUUUGUUUUAGACAGUCGGAUUACCUUAGUCCUUGCCAGUUCUGAGUCGGCUGUUAGUUGCCCGUCGAAACCGUCACUCAGCACGAAAGCAAGGUCCGUGCCGCAGCUGAGACAUUCCACGCAAAGGCCCCAUCUCUGGUCCGUGCCGAACCGGAUUGAGUCGCCUGAGACAGUCUCGUCCAGUCCCGGUACAGAGCCACACCCGCUUCGUAUCCCAGACCGACGGGCACAAUCGUCAGAGCCAAUCCUUGUCCCGAAGUUAAGGAUCGAAUUUGUCGACUUCCCUUACCUACAUUGUUCUAUCGACUAAAGACUGUUCCUUGGAGACCUGCUGCGGAUAUGGGUACAAACCGGCGCGAAAAUCACACUCUCUCCCUCGGAUUUGCUAGGGCCGUCAGAGGCGCACCGGACACCGCAAGAGCCGCGGUGCUUUUACGGAGACAGAGUCCCUAUCUCUGGACGAGCCGAUUCCAGGGACACGAAUCCUUACAAAGAAAUGACAACUCUUCCCCGGGUCCUUCGUCGACGUCUCCGAGUUCGGUUGCGUUAUCGCACAUGUCCUCGAGGGGACUAUCUCCGUGUCCGGGUUAGGGAAUAUUGACCCCAUUCCCUUUCUGUCGGCAACGAGACAAGCAUCAUCGUUGCGAUUAUGCAAUUUGGUCAAUUUCUCGCUUCGGAACGGAUUUAUCUGAUCCCUUAGGGCCGACUGACCCAUAUUCAACUGCUUUUCACAUGGAACUCUUCUCCAACUUCAGUUCUCAAGGUUCUCGCUUGAGUAUUUCCUACU